GGAAGCGUGGCCGAGCGGUUUAAGGCACCGGUCUUGAAAACCGGCGACGGGUAACUGUCCCAGAGUUCGAAUCUCUGCGCUUCCGCCA
rnacentral:tRNA from 1 species